UACGUAGGUGACCAGCGUUGUCCGGAUUUACUGGGCGUAAAGAGCGCGCAGGCGGUCGUUCAAGUCGAGUGUGAAAGCCCCCGGCUCAACUGGGGAGGGUCACUCGAUACUGAUCGACUGGAAGGCAGGAGAGGGAAGCGGAAUUCCCGGUGUAGUGGUGAAAUGCGUAGAUAUCGGGAGGAACACCAGUAGCGAAGGCGGCUCUCUGGGCCGGUACCGACGCUGAGGAGCGAAAGCUAGGGGAGCGAACAGG
rnacentral:rRNA from 1 species